AAAAGCUGUCACUAGUAUUUACCUGAAAAAAAGAGAUCUUAGUUGUAACUUGAUAUGCUGUGUGCUUUAAAAAUACUGCAUAGUAUUCCUCUUGGAGUUCAUACUGUGAUCACUAGGCAGUGAACCUGAUACAAAACUUGGGAGCCAAAUUGAUAGGAAUACAAUUAUUUCAAAGCAUUAAAAGGAAAAGAGAGUCUGAGGAGCAUUGAAUGGAAAACUCACGUUGCUCUUGUGUGAGUUUAGGCUUCAGAGGGCUUGUUUAUUUGUCUGCUUGUGUUUCACCAGCUUGCAUCCCUAUCCCAGCUUGUCAACUGCCGUGCUAGGGACCGGGGCUAAAUGAGAUUCCAUCUUGUAUUUCCAUUGGUAAAAAAGUAAGCUGUUUCCUCUUUGCAAACCAAAAUAUCUCUGUUUUUUUUGGUACCAGGGAUCGAACUCAGGACCUUGCAAAAUAUCUCUCACUAAUUAUUUAAUGUCCCUUUUGAUCUUUCUCUUUUCCUUUAUCUCAAAAAAACAAACAAAAAAGGACAGGUGUCUCCAUGAUGGAUCCAAAUCAUUUCCUGAUAAUAAUGCUUAGCUGCUUUGAACUUUAUCAGAUUUUCAGUACACCAGAUUAUGGGAAAAGAUUCAGUUCCGAGAUCACCCAUAAGGUAAGAGGCAUGUUUUGUGAGACCACAGCACAUCACUAAAGAAGCAACUUUCAUUCUUUCUGGAUGUGUUACUCAUCUGAGAAAAUACAGUAUACAUAUUCUUCUCUUUGAUCCCACUUGUAGGAUGUUGUUCAGCAGAACAAUACUCUAAUAGAAGAAAUGCUAUACCUCAUUAUAACGCUUGUUGGUAAGCGAUUUAGUCCUGGGUUUGGACAGGUGAAUGCUACAGAUGAAAUUAAGCAGGAGAUUAUCCGUCAAUUGAGCAUCAACCCUAUGGCUCACAGUGAAUUGGUAAAGUCUUUACCUGAAGAUGUAAGUUCCUACAUGGUAUCAGUUGGUUGGCUGUGGCAGGGUCUUACUAUGUAGUUUAGGCUGGCCUUGACCUUACUGUGUAGCUCAGGCUGGCCUCAUUCAUGGUGAUCUUCCUAUCUUGGCCUCGAGUGCUAGGAUUAUAGCCUUGUGCAGUUGUUAGUACCUACUUUUUUUUUUCUUUAAAGAAUACCUACAUUAGGCCCGGGGAUUUAGCUCAGUGGUUCUGCCCCCUGCUUCACAAGCACAAGGUCCCAAGUUCAAUCUCUGGUACCAAAAAAAAAAAGAAUACCUACAUUUUAAAAAGAAAAUUGUAAUGAGCUUUCCCUACCUAUCAAUCUGGUAUUAUAG
rnacentral:lncRNA from 1 species